AGCAGCAAGAAUACUUAUUGCAAAGUAUUGGAAGACACAAGACCUACCCACUCUGGAAGAAUGGCAGAUGAAGGUGAUGGACUACAUGGAAUUGGCCGAAAUGACUGGCAGAAUCCGAGACCAGGGAGAAGAGUCGGUGGAAGAAGACUGGAAGAAAUUUAAAGACUAUCUACAGAAAUAUUGUAAAAUUAAUGAAUGUUAGAAUGAUGUUAGAAUGAAGUUAAGUGGUUUAAGCAGCAAUGCUAUAAAGGCGUAUGUAAAAAUGGACAGUUAACAGGUGAAAAUCCAAAGUUAUAGUAUAUUAAGUUAAAGGACUAAGAGAAAAUAAAGAAAAGAAAUUGCUGAAUUAACUAAUUGAAUUGGAAUACAAAAAGGGGAGGUAUGAGGUCAGGGAAGUAAGGAAAUGAAUGUAAGGCAUGGA
rnacentral:lncRNA from 1 species